AUUGAACGCUGGCGGCAGGCUUAACACAUGCAAGUCGAGCGAGCGGCGGACGGGUGAGUAAUGUCUGGGAAACUGCCUGAUGGAGGGGGAUAACUACUGGAAACGGUAGCUAAUACCGCAUACCAUCAGAAGGGCCCAGAUGGGAUUAGCUAGGAGGUGGGGUAAAGGCUCACCUAGGCGACGAUCCCUAGCUGGUCUGAGAGGAGGACCAGCCAAACUGGAACUGAGACACGGCCCAGACUCCUACGGGAGGCAGCAGUGGGGAAUAUUGCACAAUGGGCGCAAGCCUGAUGCAGCCAUGCCGCGUGUGUGAAGAAGGCCUUCGGGUUGUAAAGUACUUUCAGCGGGGAGGCGUUACCCGCAGAAGAAGCACCGGCUAACUCCGUGCCAGUAGCCGCGGUAAUAC
rnacentral:rRNA from 1 species